rnacentral:lncRNA from 1 species
AAUAUAAAAGUAUUUUUAAAACUGCAUAAUUUUAAAUUAUUUAAUUAAUAAACCAAUAGUUGUACCAUAAUUUCUAAUUAAUGCAUGAUUCAGUAACUAAUUAACAUGAAUAGCUAGUUGGAAGUUGAGGCAAAAAUGCAUUUAAAAAUUAUUUUAAGACGGUGCCAAAGAUGUGAACAUUAAAAAUUAUGAAGGAAGGACUAAGUCUAAAACUCACAUAAAACUUCAAAAAUUAGUCAAAAAAUCUCUUAAAAAAGAAGAGAUGUCGGUCCAACUUGGCCUGCAUUCACUUCAUGAGCUUUUAUAAAAUAAAACCAACUUGCUUUUCUAGAUAUCACU